ensembl:lncRNA
CACUUUAUAGGUUUCUCUACUUAUCUCCUCCCUGGAUGGCUGUAUAAGCCAGAUGAUGGUUACCUGAACACUCUAGAAAAAGAAUUCACAGAGGGUUUCACAGGGCACAGCCUCGCAGUCUGGAGGGAGAAGAGGGCAAACCGGUCUUCACGGACGCCACCUACUGCCUGGCUGGGCAGAGAGCCAGUGGAUCAGAGAGGCCGGCUCUGUUCUUGGCAGGAAAUGAGGAGCUGGCAUGGAAAUGCCACCCAGGCUGGGAACAAGAUCUAUGGAGUGGCAGCCUGAGUGGGUGAGGUGAGGGGGAGCACAGGACAACCCAAGGCUCUCUUGCCAGCAGCGCCAGUCCACAGGGAUCUUCAGUGGUCAGCAUUCGAACAUGCUGGACUGGGCCGGGCCAUGGAAACCCACUCUUUGUCAGUGAAUCCCAAGCUUCAGUGCACCUCUGUAUCACCUUGGCAGGAGGGUAGUAUUUAAAAGGCCGUUUCCCAAAGCCUAGCUCAAGAGUUGGAUCAGGAAGUUCGGGAUGAAGCCUGAUAAUUAGUCUUUUAAUAAGCCUUCCUAGCAGGAGACGACUUUGAGAAAUGUGGGUGUAGAGAUUCAGACAAGAAAGCUAAUAGGGCCAUUGAAAGCCUUUUACCUACCAGAAUGGGAUCAAUACACACUUCCCCAACCUUGAAAGCAAGAUUUCUCCUAAUACUAUCCUUGGAGCCACCCAACCCUACCACUCCCAUUAAAGUCACUGGGGGUGUUUGCUAAAAUGCAGACUAUGGGUUCCCAACACAGAUGUAUUGAAUCAGAUUCUCUAAGGGUGAGGACUUGAAUAUACACUUACAAUAAGCACCCUAAUAAUAAUAAUAGCCUAGGUUCAUAUAGUGUUGACUCUGUGACAUGUUCUUUAAUAUUAGCUCAUUUAAUAUGUACAACAAUUUGUGAGGUAGGUUAUAUUAUUAUUCCAUUUAGCAAAUGAUGGAACUGAGACCCAGAGAGGUAAAGUAACCUGCCAAGGUUAUACCACUACUUAGUGACUGAACUGGGAUUCAGACCUAGGUGCUGCUAUAGUUGGGCUCCUAAUGUAGGAGAAGAAAAAUAUGUGUCCUCUACUAUCUUAUGUUUAGUGCCUGAAGCCUUUGAAUUAAACUGACGAAAGGUACAUUAGCAGGAGGAAAAAUACAGAGUUUAUUUACACGUGUAACAGGCAUACAUGUGGUUGAGUUCUGUGAUGAGUAACUCAAAGGGGUAUUAGCAUUUGGGGCUUAUGUACCAUCUUAACAAAGGAUAAUAAAAUGUGGAGAACAAGGGAAAUAGGUUAAGGGGUGGCUGGGCUAGAGUUUACUGUGGGAAGGUGAAUAUAUGAGGAAAAUUAAUAUUUGAGGUAAGAUAAGGAUUAUUUUAGUAAGGUUUACUUAUGUAGACCCAUGUGGGCACUGACGUUUUGUCUCCAAUAUAAGGGUGGUUCACUGUACAGAACAGGGAAAGGGGAACACCUUCACAAAGGGAAAAUUAUGCACUGCUUCUAGGCAGAUAGAAAGAAGGUAGAGAGCUCUUUCUGCAUUUGCUGCAUCUUAAUUGCCUUCAGUGGUAUACUUUGGAUGGCAUGUUCUGAUUCCCUUUGCUAACCAGCAUACCAUAUAGCCCAGCUUCUUCAGAUGGAGGCUAAAUCUCAAAACCCCUUAUCAGUCAUACUUGCCAGCUUCUGAUCAACUCUGCAGUAGAGGGAAGAACCUGAGCAGAAGCUAAUGUGGUAGUUGCUGAAGGUACAGGCCAGAAGGCAACUUAAUGAUCUGUAAAGAGCACUGCUCUGGAAGUCAGGAGACAAGGAUGUACUAGGAACAUGCCAGGUGACAGUAGACAAGUAGAUUCUCCUUUCAAGGCUUUGGUUCCAGCCAUCUGUCAAGAUGAUGCUAAGCUGGAUGACUUCUAGAUUUCUUCUCAGCUCUGGCAUUUGAAAAUUAUGUGCAUUUCUCUUUCGGAGCAAGCUGAGGCAGUUUCCUGGAGGCUCUGUGUGUAUGUGUGUAUGUUGUAGGGGAGAGGACAGUUAUAUGUGGGGGAAGUAGCCCCAGCCCAAAUCAGGCUGGGCGUGUGUGUGUGGCUGCUGUAAGUCUGGGUGUAUCCCAGGCCAGGCCAGUGGGGAAGGGUUGGAACUUACAAGGGCAGGACUUGCACUGAAACCAAGGCUGUUUCUCUCUCAGCUGUUUGUCUAGUUUCGUCCUGAAACAAUGCCCUUAGGCUCACCUAAGGAGAGAAUGAAAGGCAUAGAGACUGGGGCAGCUGUGGAGAUAACAUAGAAACAGCUUCAGGGCAACCGAGACCCAGAAGUAGGCACCAGCUUGUGCCAAC